ACUCAAAUGAAUUGACGGGGGCCCGCACAAGCGGAGGAACAUGUGGUUUAAUUCGAUGAUACGCGAGGAACCUUACCCGGGCUAGAACGCAGAGGGAAUGUGUGGGAAACUGCACAGCCGCAAGGCCGUCUGCGAGGUGCUGCAUGGUUGUCGUCAGCUCGUGCCGUGAGGUGUCGGCUUAAGUGCCAUAACGAGCGCAACCCUUAUUGUUAGUUGCCAGCGAGUCAUGUCGGGGACUCUAACAAAACUGCCUGCGUAAGCUGUGAGGAAGGUGGGGAUGACGUCAAAUCAGCACGGCCCUUACGUCCGGGGCGACACACGUGUUACAAUGGGGGGUACAGAAGGUCGCUACCACGCGAGUGGAUGCUAAUCCUCAAAUCCCCUCCCAGUUCGGAUCGAAGUCUGCAACUCGACUUCGUGAAGCCGGAUUCGCUAGUAAUCGCGCAUCAGCCAUGGCGCGGUGAAUACGUUCCCGGGCCUUGUACACACCGCCCGU
rnacentral:rRNA from 1 species